rnacentral:lncRNA from 1 species
GAAGACUUAUUACAAAAUAAAAGUAAUAAACAUGAAACGAACUAAGGAUCGUUGGCGCCAAUGUCGACUGAGAAACGCCUCCUAGAUCAGAUCGAACUCCUCAGCGUUAGGCAGCUCCUCCUGAACCACCUGCUCUUCUCCUGUGGGGGGGGGUGUGAGACAGCAAGAGUGAGCUCACAUACGUUCAUAGCUCAACAAGUCGUGGGGAAUAAUGUGGCAUGAACUCACCAAAGGUGGGAGUUCAUGUAGUGUAAGGCUAAUCAAUGGAAUAAAGGCUGAGGCUGAGCAUUGCUUUUAUAAGUUGGUCAAAAUUUUAUUAGCAAUUACUAAGUGUAAGUAAAUACCAAACCUUAAUAAUAAUAAAGAACAAUAAUAGUAAAAUAAUCCCAAAUGCGAUGCAAAUGUCAAAUUGAAUUUAAGUUCCAUAAUUAAUCAUGUGAGGGUCCGAGCCGCUCUUGACCGUGAGCACGGCUAGUAUACCAGUUUUACACUCUGCAGAGGUUGUACCCUUUACCCACAAGUCGUGUUUCCCAUGUCGCCAGGGUUAGCUAGGCCCUUAGACACUACCAAGGUGAAUGGCUAGGGAUCCACUACGAGGCCUUUACAAAGUUCCACUAGCUUCCGAAAACCCGCUACAGUUUAUGGGAAGAUCCAGUACAGGGUUCCUGGCUGACCGCCAUCGCAGCAAAAUCAACCAGGGACCUCCCCGCACUGACCUCUCCCCUACUGCCCUUGCCCCUUUCGGGUAAGGUAGUCUUCCACUAGCUUUCCUAGUUAAUCAGCCAAGGGCGUCCCAUUAAACCCUUGUGGUGGCACUGUUUUCCCGGGUGGUUCUCCAUGUUCCCAUUAACAUAAUGAUCUUAUCAUGAACAUAAAAUAAUGAACAGAUAAUAGAAAGUGUAGUCAUGAGUCAUAAAUAUCUUUAUACCCAAAUCCACAUAAAGCAAUAGCAUGUACUACCCAAAAAUUUAGUAGUAAAACGAGUGGUGAAACAAGGUAUAAAGAUAGUCAAAAUCUAGGGUAUCAUAUUGGGUCCCAUCAAAAUUAACCUAUGCAGAUCAUUAUGAAUAAUAAGAACAUGAAUAGGUAAAAGAAGUGAUCAAGGGCACAACUUGCCUUCAACGAGCUCCUGCUCAGCUAUCUCUACUUGUUGAAGCUCAGGUUCCACAGUGGGUUGCUCGUCUACUCGCAUCAACACAAUACAUACAUAGUAUAGCCAAAAUCAACAUCACACCAAACAGAUGAAUGAAAUAUACAGUAAAAAUCUACACAUUAAAAUGAAACCAUAGGAACUGGAAUCACUGAAUUCGGAGUUAUAGAAUUCAAGUUAUGAAUUUCCUAAGAUUUAAGGUGAUUAUAGUAGGAUUAAAUGUUAAAUUAAUGUUCUUACUGUUUUUAUGCCAAAACAGAGACACUAAAUGGUAGAGAAUAAUUGUACAAAAUUGCAGAAAUUGGAAUGGUUCAAUUUGAAGUUAAAAUGAAUUUUCUAUGCAUUUUACAAGUUUCUAGAUUUGUUUUUGUAUUAAAAAUGAAUUUUAAUAUUAAUUUCUCUGUUUUUAAUAUUCCCAGGACUGGGCCCCAAUUUCCAGAAAGCACAGGGGUCUGCGCGAAUAAAAUCCUAGACUCAGUGUACAGUGAUAGGUGGACGGCGGGUUCUAUUUCAUAAUUCUGCGGGGGCUCUUUAGAAAAACUGCCCCGCGAAGGGGUAUCCUUAGAUGUGGGCCGUUGGAUCACCAGUGUGCGGCCCAGAUUAGAUCCACACACGGCCGAAACGGUACAUAAUCUACACCGUCGGAUCUGCGUUCAACGGUCGCGAUUUAAUUAUGCUAAAUCUAACCCCAUCCAUUAGAUCUGAGAUCGACGGUACCCGAGCUACGUGACGAAGGGGUAUCUCUCUUCUAAUCAGAGCCGUUCACUGGGAGAUCUACGGUUCCCUCCACUUCGCCCCUACAUCUAACCAUGGCCGUUAGAUAUGCGAUCAACGGUCGACGCAGCGUCCCCUUCCUCGAGCCAAGGCACGACGGUGCUCCCUCGCACGGCGGAGAGCCCGCCGGGAUUUCGAAUCCGGCCGGCCCGAGCACCAAACAGCAAUUAAAUCGCGCCACGCAAAGUAGACGCCUCCCUAAACUCGAUCCCCCAAUCAAUUUUAGCCGACUCCGAGUGUCCGACUCGGUACGCGGCGCACAGCGGCGGCGCCAUGGCCGGAUAGCGGACCCAGGGGGUAAAACUACACCAUACUUCAAUUCGAUAGCGCAUAGCCUAAAGGAAGGGAUGAUGGAUACGAUGGCGACUCACCAGUGGCCAGCCGAGGUAAGGUGAUGCCCGUCCACGAAGCUUGGCGGUCCGGCGGGGAUUUUCCGCCACGGUAAGCAAUUGACGAGCAAUCGACGCCCCUUCGCGGAAGAAGACGCCACACCCACGAUCGUGCGAUCUUCCCUGACCACCUCCCGCUUCCAAUCGACAGCAGGAUCCGGUAAACCGUGGCGAAUCGAGCACGGCCGCGAGCCCUCUUCUCUCACCCACGAUUUUGUGUUACACGUGCUCUGGUCACUACGGCGAGGCGAGUAGGGAAGAGGUGGUGGUCACGAGAACCCCUUUAAUCCUCUGGAGUCCAAGUCGGGCAGAGGAGAAGAGGUUGUGGCCCGCCAUUGUCGCGCGGGUGGUUGCACGCGCCCGCGCGGAGCUCGGCGAAGCUGUUAGCACACGACCCGGCGCGUCGGUCCCACGUGUAAGCGACACCAUGCGGCGUGUGGAUGAGGAGUGGGCCCGGCUUGUCAAUCAUACACGGUCAGCGCGCCAUCGCACUACCGUUACUGGCAGAGGGGCCCCGCGGAGCAGUGACCAAGGACGCGCGAGCGGAGAAGGCUGGGCGAGGCGCGGCGCAAGGGGGACUGACAGGUGGGGUAGGGGUGUCGGCGCCAAGGAUAGCUUGGGCUGCGCGGUGAGGCUUCCCUGGGUGGGCCGAAUUGGAGUCUGCCGGCCCAGGUAAGGUUUUCUCCUUUUUCUUUUUAUUUUUCUGUUUUCUUUCUUCAUUUUCAAACCAAAUUUGACUUAGUUCAAACUUUUGUGGAUCCUCUUUCAUAAACUCUAUUUUUGCAUCUAAAAAUAGUAAGCCUGAAGAUAUUUGUGUAUACAUUUUAUUUAUUUUUCCAUAUCUCUUCUCUUUUCCUUAUUUUCAAAACUCUAAUUUCAAACUUAGGGUUUAAUCAAACUUCAAAUAAUUAUUACCUUAUUAUUUUAUCCUCAUGGUUUUAUUUAAUGCACAACACAUAAAACUCCAACAAAUGCACUUUUUUCUUUAUUUUAGCAUAAUUGUUUUAUUUAGACACUCUCAAUUACAUAGGUGCUCUUUUUAUGAUGCAAAUGAAACACACAAAACGAGGAAUUCUCUUUAUUACACUUGGUAUACAACUUGAGUACUACAAAUCCUACCCCCCUUAAAAAUAAUCUCGUCCUCGAGAUUUAAGAAGAUCUAGGGAAAAGGUGGGGAAAAUCUAUACGAAGCUCUUCUUCUCUUUCCCAAGUUGCUUCAUCUUCACCAUGGUGGCUCCAUUGCACUUUGCACAUCUUUAUAACCUUAUUCCUCGUAACUCGAGUCAGAGUAUCCAAAAUCUUGAUGGGGUACUCAGCAUAAGUCAAGUCCUCUUGAACACUAAGGUCUUCCAUUGGUAACUGUUCUUCAGGCACCCUGAGACAUUUCUUCAGCUGAGAUACAUGAAAGACAUCAUGAACAUCCGCAAGAUGAUCCGGUAACUCCAAUUGAUAUGCAACCUCUCCCACUCGCUUUAAGAUCAAGAAGGGUCCAAUAAAGCGAGGGGACAACUUUCCUUUAACUUUAAAUCUCCUCAUGCCCCGGAGUGGUGACACCUUCAAAUAGACAUGAUCACCCUCCUUAAACUCCAGUAGUCUUCUCCUAUUAUCAGCAUAGCUCUUUUGUCUUGAUUGUGCAAUUCUCAAAUUCUCCCUUAUCAUUCGAACUUGUUCCUCUGCCUCUUGAAUAAGUUCAGGCCCAAAGAACUGUCUUUCUCCAGUUUGAUCCCAAUACAGUGGUGUCCUGCAUUUUCUACCAUAUAGAGCUUCAAAUGGUGACAUCUUCAAACUGGCCUGAUAGCUAUUGUUAUAAGAAAACUCAGCAUAGGGUAAGCUCUUCUCCCAACUGCCACCAUGCUUGAGAGCACAAGCUCUUAACAUAUCUUCCAGCACUUGAUUAGUUCUCUCUGUCUGUCCAUCAGUCUGGGGAUGGUAGGCUGAGCUAAAAUUCAACUUUGUAUCCAAGCUCUCAUGCAACUUCUUCCAAAAUCGAGAAGUAAACUGUGAUCCUCGAUCAGACACGAUCUUUUUAGGUACUCCAUGUAAACAAACUAUCCGAGUCAUAUACAAUUCUGCUAGCUUGGCUCCCGUGUAAUUAGUCCUCACCGGUAUAAAAUGAGCCACUUUUGUCAAUCUGUCCACAAUUACCCAAAUAGAGUCAUAUCCUGCUGGAGUGCGGGGUAGUCCAACAAUAAAAUCCAUACCAAUUUCUUCCCAUUUCCACUCAGGUAUCUUCAAUGGGUGCAAUAAUCCAGCGGGUCUUUGAUGUUCGGCCUUGACUCUUUGACAUACAUCACACUUAGCCACAUGUGCAGCAACAUCUCUUUUCAGUCCAUACCACCAAUACUUUUGCUUCAAAUCUUGAUACAUCUUAGUGCUACCAGGGUGGAUAGAAUAAUUAGAAUCAUGGGCUUCUUUCAAUAUAGUCUCACGGAGGCUAUCAAUCUCUGGAACACAUAUCCGAUCUUUGAACCAUAUAGUACCUUGCUCAUCCUCCGUGAAUUCCGGAACUCGACCUUCCGUGAUUAGAUCCUUAAUCUCUUGAAUCUUAGCAUCACCAACCUGACCUUUACGAAUCUCUUGCUCCAAGGUAGGUUCCAACUCAAUGGUGACUCCUUCAGUGUGAGUAACAAUUCCCAGGUUGAGCUUCUCAAAAUCUUUUGCCAAUUCAUCGGGUAGUUGGACAACGAAAGCGGAGUGCACAUGCUCCUUCCGACUCAAGGCAUCUGCAACCAAAUUCGCCUUGCCCGGAUGAUAGUGAAUCUCCAAAUCAUAAUCCUUAAUGAGUUCCAACCAACGGCGUUGCCUAAGGUUGAGAUCCUUCUGAGUGAAUAUAUACUUCAAACUCUUAUGGUCCGUGUAUACUUGGCACUUAGUUCCCAUAAUGUAGUGUCUCCAAAUCUUAAGUGCAUGCACAACCGCUGCCAAUUCCAAGUCAUGAGUGGGGUAGUUCAAUUCAUGUUUCCGCAACUGACGAGAUGCAUAGGCAAUCACAUGGCCUUCUUGCAUAAGCACACAUCCAAGUCCUUGGCCACAUGCAUCACAGUAAAUAUCAAAUCCCUUCUGCAGAUCUGGCAUAAUCAAUAUUGGAGGUGACAUCAAUCUCUCCUUCAAUUGAUCAAAACUCUCUUGGCAUUUCUCAUCCCACUUGAAUUCUUUCCCUUUCUCCAAAAGCGAUGUCAUGGGCUUAGCAAUCUUAGAAAAUCCUUCAAUAAAUCUCCGAUAAUAUCCUGCGAGUCCCAAGAAACUCCGAAUCUCAGUAACUGUAGUGGGCACUCUCCACUCCAUUAUCUCCUUCACUUUAGCAGGAUCCACUGCUAUUCCUCCAUUAGAAAUAAUAUGACCAAGGAAUGGCACCUUGUCAAUCCAAAACUCGCACUUGCUGAACUUAGCAUAGAGUUGAUUAUCUCGUAACUUCUGUAGCACCAACCUUAGAUGUUGUUCAUGAUCACUUUCAUUCUUAGAAUAGAUAAGAAUAUCGUCGAUAAACACCACGACGAAUCUGUCCAAAAACUCCAUAAACACUUUGUUCAUCAAAUUCAUGAAAUAAGCUGGUGCAUUGGUUAAUCCAAAUGACAUAACAGUAAACUCAUAUAAUCCAUAUCGAGUUGAGAAAGCCGUCUUGGGAAUAUCCGAUGGUCUAAUCCUCAUCUGAUGGUAACCCGAUCGGAGAUCAAUCUUCGAGAAUACCCUGGCUCCUCUCAUCUGAUCAAAUAAAUCCUCAAUACGGGGCAACGGGUACUUGUUCUUCACUGUAACAUCAUUAAGAGAUCUAUAAUCCACACACAUCCGCUGUGAUCCAUCCUUCUUCUGCACAAAUAACACCGGUGCUCCCCAAGGUGAGGAACUCGGACGAAUGUAACCGGCCUCUUGUAACUCCGUCAACUGCUUCUUCAGUUCCUUCAACUCCUCUACGGACAUUCUAUAUGGCCGUUUAGAAAUAGGGGCGGUUCCAGGUAAGAGAUCAAUAACAAACUCAACUUCUCUAUCAGGUGGCAUCCCUGGUAACUCCUCUGGAAAGACAUCCGGAAAAUCUCUGACCACCCGGAUGUUGUCACCAACAAACUCCUCAGGCAUAAAGAACAUUGCACGCAUGGAUGAGGAGGUUACUGCAAUAUUAACUUGAAAUCUUUCUCCUUUAGUGGUAGUGAGCUCUACGGUACCUCUACCACAUGCUAUAACGGCCUUUGCCUUUCUUAGCCAUGACAUACCAAGGAUCAGAUCUAUACUGCUUGACUCUAAUAUUAUAGCAGUAGCUCCAAAUUCUCUACCCAUAAUGGUUAAUGUCAAUCUACGUGUCAUUUGAUUCGCCUCAACAGGCCCUUUAGGUGUAAUUACUAUCAGGGGUUUUCUCAUAUUUAGUAGUGGUAUUUCAUUUGUGUUGGCAUAUCGAGCAGACAUGAAUGAAUGUGUAGCACCAGAAUCAAAUAAUAUGGUUGCAGGAAUUGUAUUAACAUAAAACAUACCAAUUACGAGGUCCCCACCAUCAGGAGUAUCAUCAACGCUGACUUGAUU